rnacentral:lncRNA from 1 species
AGAAAUUAUUUUAGCAACCUACGAGAUACCAUAGCACUGGUCCUUCGGCCUGUGACCCACAGAUGUGACUCAGUAUAGAGUUCAUUGCUAAUGAUAAAUUAUUAGUAAAUCUUUUUUCUAUUUUAAGCUAUAGUUGCGGGCAGGGGUGGGGGGGAAUCUGGCCACUUUUGUGUUUUAUGAAGGCCAUGGAAUAAAGGGAUCCAAAGAUUUAAAUAUUUUUAUCAAUUUUGAUUUUUGUUAACUUUCUCCUUAAAAUAAUCAGUAGUGGUAAAGAUACAAAAAACUGCACUGUAGGAGAAUUGAAAUAUUUAAAGGUGGUUAAGUGCUAUGACAAUACCUGUGUAGACUGUCGGAGAUAUCCUGGGCUACUUUGAAGAAAAAAGAAAAACUGUAAAUACCAAUUCUACAUGCUCUGAAAAUAUGAAUUCAUGCAUUUUGCCAAGCCCUCUGGGUCAUUGACUAGGGCGUUUGGUACCCCAGUAAUAACUGGCAGCAUGGCAUACCUGCAGUGCACCUUACAAUAUUAAAGCAGAUUUUUAUUCUGAGACAGAAUAAAAUUAUUCAAUAAAAA